rnacentral:rRNA from 1 species
AUUGAACGCUGGCGGCAGGCCUAACACAUGCAAGUCGAGCGGAUGAAGGGAGCUUGCUCCUGGAUUCAGCGGCGGACGGGUGAGUAAUGCCUAGGAAUCUGCCUGGUAGUGGGGGAUAACGUCCGGAAACGGGCGCUAAUACCGCAUACGUCCUGAGGGAGAAAGUGGGGGAUCUUCGGACCUCACGCUAUCAGAUGAGCCUAGGUCGGAUUAGCUAGUUGGUGGGGUAAAGGCCUACCAAGGCGACGAUCCGUAACUGGGCUGAGAGGAUGAUCAGUCACACUGGAACUGAGACACGGUCCAGACUCCUACGGGAGGCAGCAGUGGGGAAUAUUGGACAAUGGGCGAAAGCCUGACCCAGCCAUGCCGCGUGUGUGAAGAAGGUCUUCGGAUUGUAAAGCACUUUAAGUUGGGAGGAAGGGAAGUAAGUUAAUACCUUGCUGUUUUGACGUUACCAACAGAAUAAGCACCGGCUAACUUCGUG